ACCAACAGUACCCAGCUGCCGAAGGCGCCGCCGAGACCACCAGCCGCGGCCACCACCACCACCACAACGGCGGCGGAUUCUGGAGAGGAUGCUGCGCGGCGCUCUGCUGCUGUUGCCUCCUCGACGCCUGCUUCUGAUCAAGUUCUGCACAUUGUGAUUAGUUGAUGUGGAGUUUGGCCAUUGUGUUGCGUCGAUUGAUCAGUUGUCGAUCAUUCUUUUCUUCUUUCCAUGUGGCGAUGCCAUCUAGGAGUAUUUGUUUCUUUGUUGAGUACUAGUAAUUGGUUUCUGAGCAUACUAUUUUCUGUGUAUGUGUGUAUAUAUGUAUAUGUAUGGUGGUGAUGUUAGUGCUUA